rnacentral:rRNA from 1 species
UACGUAGGGUGCGAGCGUUGUCCGGAAUUACUGGGCGUAAAGCGUGCGCAGGCGGUCCGGUAAGACAGAUGUGAAAUCCCCGGGCUUAACCUGGGAACUGCAUUUGUGACUGUCGGACUCGAGUAUGGCAGAGGGGGGUAGAAUUCCACGUGUAGCAGUGAAAUGCGUAGAGAUGUGGAGGAAUACCGAUGGCGAAGGCAGCCCCCUGGGCCAAUACUGACGCUCAUGCACGAAAGCGUGGGGAGCAAACAGG